AUUGAACGCUGGCGGCAGGCCUAACACAUGCAAGUCGAGCGAGUGGCGGAAGGGUGAGUAAUGUCUGGGAAACUGCCUGAUGGAGGGGGAUAACUACUGGAAAAGGUAGCUAAUACCGCAUACCAUAAGAUGUGCCCAGAUGGGAUUAGCGAGUUGGUGGGAUAACGGCUCACCAAGGAGACGAUCCCUAGCUGGUGUGAGAGGAUGACCAGCAACACUUGAACUUGUGAACGGUCCAGCUUCCUACGGGAGGCAGCAGUGGGGAAUAUUGCACAAUGUGCGCAAGCCUGAUGCAGCCAUGCCGCGUGUAGUAAGAAGGCCUUCGGGUGUGAAAGUACUUUCAGCGGGGAGGCGUUACCCUCAGAAGAAGCACCGGCUAACUCCGUGCCAGCAGCCGCGGUAAUAC
rnacentral:rRNA from 1 species